CCUAAGGGAGGUGCGGUGGCCGCUCCCCUGUUUUCAGCCACCCUGGAACAGGCCCUAAUGGCGGGGCCCGCCGGAGCGUCCCGAGACGCGCAGGCUACUGGUUUUUAAGAGUUCUGUACCACAGCAACAGUGAAGAUCAGAAUCCCAUUACGGUACAAGGAAUUCACCAAGGAGAAGUCUGGGAAGACAAACCUGCCAAGGUGCCAGCAUUGCCUCCCUGACAUGCCAGUCUGCAUACCUGCCAUUGCUCCAGAAGACUGAAAAAUGAGAUCCUGCAAAUCGUGCAACACCCAGCCAGACCUUAGAUGACCAAUUGUUUAUGAAAAGGCAUAAGGCUUGUUUGACUACCGAAGCAUCCGAGAAGGAAGGCGGUAAGGAGGGAGAGGCCCUUGACAGAUGAUACAUCCAUCACGCUCCUCACUCCUCAGCAGAGCUCUGUGUCAGUGGUGCGUAUUCGCUUUAGCAGGCAAAGCUUCACCAUCUCUUAUUUCUUGCCUUUAGAUUUUCUUGGCAUGUCAGGAUGCAUGUCCUCCCUGCACACCCUGUGACUGUAACUUCAAGUGGCAGUGCUUGAAUUCAUACAGCUCUUGCCUUCCCUGUAUACCCCAACGUGUCAUAGCCAGGCUCUGCUCUAGCUUCAGGACACACUGGAACGUGACCUGGGGGAGGGACAGGGGGAGAAGAGGAAAGAUAGCUGGGGGUGGUGAGGGAGGGAUUUGAGUGGGAAAGAUAUUGGCUGGUGUUCAUUAAUUCUUGAGCUUUACGUGAAAAAAUGUAAGAAGUAGUGAGCACUGGUUUGAAA